CGACCUCAGAUCAGGCGGGACUACCCGCCGGAUUUAAGCAUAUUAAUAAGCGGAGGAAAAGAAAACAACCGUGAUUCCCUUAGUAGCGGCGAGCGAACCGGGAAAAGCCCAUCGCCGAAUCUCGCCGCGCACUUUUGUGUCGCGGCACGUAUGAGAGUUGUGGCGUACGGGCCGGCCUCGUUGCCGGGGCGCACGUGACGGUCCAAGUCUCCCUUGAACGGGGCCAUGGCCCGCAGAUGGUGCCAGGCCAGUAGAGGCCGUCACAGCGUUCCGGGAUCGGACCGCGCCUUCGAGUCGGGUUGCUUGAGAGUGCAGCCCGAAGCGGGUGGUAAACUCCAUCUAAGGCUAAAUACGGGCCACGAGACCGAUAGUUUACAAGUACCGUGAGGGAAAGUUGAAAAGAACUUUGAAGAGAGAGUUCAUAAGAACGUGAAACCGCUCGGUUGUAAACGGACAGAGCUCGCGAAUCCCCGCCGGGCGAAUUCACGGUCGGUCUAACCGCCGGCCGGAUCUUUCGCUCGGUUAGCGGACGUCGCGACCCGUUGGGCGCCGGCCGAAUGGCCCGGGUGACGUUCGUCGCGUCGGUCGCGUUUCGGCGUGACCGUUCGCGCCGAGCCCCGGUGCUCAUGGUCGGCUCGCCCGACGGCAAGAACCGUCGACGCGGCCCCGUCGCAGGCGGGGUCCCGUCGGUCGGCGACGUGUUUCGAGCUACUUUCCGACCCGUCUUGAAACACGGACCAAGGAGUCUAACGUGUGCGCGAGUCAACGGUGAUCUUACGAAAAACCACGUUUGGCGCAAUGAAAGUGAACCGUUUACGGUGCGGACGAUGGCCUAGCGACCGAACCCACCGGCGUUCAAAGUCGCGCUGGUCCGCAGUCCGGGGGCGUCUCCGCCAAGUCGGCUUCGGCCGGCUGGGGGCGCACCCUUAGCGCACACGUUGGUACCCGAAAGAUGGUGAACUAUGCCUGGCCAGGAUGAAGUCAGGGGAAACCCUGAUGGAGGUCCGCAGCGAUUCUGACGUGCAAAUCGAUCGUCUGAGCUGGGUAUAGGGGCGAAAGACUAAUCGAACCAUCUAGUAGCUGGUUCCAUCCGAAGUUCCCUCAGGAUAGCUGGCGCCGAUGUGUCCCGCCCGUUCGCGGGCGUACGGACGCCGGUGGGACUCCGCGCUGUACGGCGCGGUAACAACACGCUCGUAACACGGAGGAUGUCUCAUACGGUAAAGCGAAUGAUUAGAGGACAUUGGGGCCGAAACGACCUCAACCUAUUCUCAAACUAUAAAUGAGUGAGAUCGCCGGCUUUACCUGGUACACCGCGUGAACCGCGUGCGAAGCCGGCGACGGAACCCUAGGCGCUUAGUGGGCCAUUUUUGGUAAGCAGAACUGGCGCUGCGGGAUGAACCGAACGCCGAGUUAAGGCGCCGAAAUCGACGCGUAUUCAGAGACCAUGAAAGGCGUUGGUUGCUGAUGACAGCAGGACGGUGGCCAUGGAAGUCGGAAUCCGCUAAGGAGUGUGUAACAACUCACCUGCCGAAGCAACUAGCUCUGAAAAUGGAUGGCGCUGGAGCGUCGUGCCUAUACUCGGCCGUCGACGGCAUAGUGGGGCCAGUCGUCGCUCGCGGCGGCCGGUCCCGGCAAGCCUCGACGAGUAGGAUGGCGCGGCGGUGUGCGUCGAAGGGCAGGUCGCGAGACCGCCUGGAG
rnacentral:ncRNA from 1 species